rnacentral:rRNA from 1 species
GUGGGGAAUAUUGGGCAAUGGGCGAAAGCCUGACCCAGCAACGCCGCGUGAAGGAAGAAGGUCUUCGGAUCGUAAACUUCUAUCCUUGGUGAAGAUAAUGACGGUAGCCGAGAAGGAAGCCCCGGCUAACUACGUGCCAGCAGCCGCGGUAAUACGUAGGGGGCAAGCGUUGUCCGGAAUGAUUGGGCGUAAAGGGCGCGUAGGCGGCCUGGUAAGUCUGGAGUGAAAGUCCUGCUUUUAAGGUGGGAAUUGCUUUGGAUACUGUCGGGCUUGAGUGCAGGAGAGGUAAGUGGAAUUCCCGGUGUAGUGGUGAAAUGCGUAGAGAUCGGGAGGAACACCAGUGGCGAAGGCGACUUACUGGACUGUAACUGACGCUGAGGCGCGAAAGUGUGGGGAGCAAACAGGAUUAGAUACCCGUGUAGUCC